UACCCCAUGAUGCUCAGGUCCGCCGCAUCUCCUGGAUCGUGGGGUUGGCCGAUCGGUUAGCAACAAACGCGGUUCCUCGUACCGCAUGCUGCUGAUCGGCCCCC
rnacentral:sRNA from 1 species